CCUACGGGGUGCAGCAGUGGGGAAUAUUGGACAAUGGGCGAAAGCCUGAUCCAGCCAUGCCGCGUGUGUGAAGAAGGCCUUCGGGUUGUAAAGCACUUUCAGUGGGGAAGAAAGCCUUGGGGCUAAUACCCUCGAGGAAGGACAUCACCCACAGAAGAAGCACCGGCUAACUCCGUGCCAGCAGCCGCGGUAAUACGGAGGGUGCGAGCGUUAAUCGGAAUUACUGGGCGUAAAGCGCGCGUAGGCGGUCUGAUAAGCCGGUUGUGAAAGCCCCGGGCUCAACCUGGGAACGGCAUCCGGAACUGUCAGGCUAGAGUGCAGGAGAGGAAGGUAGAAUUCCCGGUGUAGCGGUGAAAUGCGUAGAGAUCGGGGGGAAUACCAGUGGCGAAGGCGGCCUUCUGGACUGACACUGACGCUGAGGUGCGAAAGCGUGGGUAGCAAACAGGAUUAGAUACCCGUGUAGUC
rnacentral:rRNA from 1 species